rnacentral:rRNA from 1 species
GACGAACGCUGGCGGCGUGCUUAACACAUGCAAGUCGAACGGAAAGGCCCUGCUUUUGUGGGGUGCUCGAGUGGCGAACGGGUGAGUAACACGUGAGUAACCUGCCCUUGACUUUGGGAUAACUUCAGGAAACUGGGGCUAAUACCGGAUAGGAGCUCCUGCUGCAUGGUGGGGGUUGGAAAGUUUCGGCGGUUGGGGAUGGACUCGCGGCUUAUCAGCUUGUUGGUGGGGUAGUGGCUUACCAAGGCUUUGACGGGUAGCCGGCCUGAGAGGGUGACCGGCCACAUUGGGACUGAGAUACGGCCCAGACUCCUACGGGAGGCAGCAGUGGGGAAUAUUGCACAAUGGGCGGAAGCCUGAUGCAGCAACGCCGCGUGCGGGAUGACGGCCUUCGGGUUGUAAACUGCUUUCGCCUGUGACGAAGCGUGAGUGACGGUAAUGGGUAAAGAAGCACCGGCUAACUACGUGCCAGCAGCCGCGGUGAUACGUAGGGUGCGAGCGUUGUCCGGAUUUAUUGGGCGUAAAGGGCUCGUAGGUGGUUGAUCGCGUCGGAAGUGUAAUCUUGGGGCUUAACCCUGAGCGUGCUUUCGAUACGGGUUGACUUGAGGAAGGUAGGGGAGAAUGGAAUUCCUGGUGGAGCGGUGGAAUGCGCAGAUAUCAGGAGGAACACCAGUGGCGAAGGCGGUUCUCUGGGCCUUUCCUGACGCUGAGGAGCGAAAGCGUGGGGAGCGAACAGGCUCAGAUACCCUGGUAGUCCACGCUGUAAACGGUGGGUACUAGGUGUGGGGUCCAUUCCACGGGUUCCGUGCCGUAGCUAACGCUUUAAGUACCCCGCCUGGGGAGUACGGCCGCAAGGCUAAAACUCAAAGGAAUUGACGGGGCCCCGCACAAGCGGCGGAGCAUGCGGAUUAAUUCGAUGCAACGCGUAGAACCUUACCUGGGUUUGACAUGGAUCGGGAGUGCUCAGAGAUGGGUGUGCCUCUUUUGGGGUCGGUUCACAGGUGGUGCAUGGCUGUCGUCAGCUCGUGUCGUGAGAUGUUGGGUUAAGUCCCGCAACGAGCGCAACCCUUGUUCACUGUUGCCAGCACGUUAUGGUGGGGACUCAGUGGAGACCGCCGGGGUCAACUCGGAGGAAGGUGGGGAUGACGUCAAGUCAUCAUGCCCCUUAUGUCCAGGGCUUCACGCAUGCUACAAUGGCUGGUACAGAGAGUGGCGAGCCUGUGAGGGUGAGCGAAUCUCGGAAAGCCGGUCUCAGUUCGGAUUGGGGUCUGCAACUCGACCUCAUGAAGUCGGAGUCGCUAGUAAUCGCAGAUCAGCAACGCUGCGGUGAAUACGUUCCCGGGGCU